UAAGCUGUGACAGAGAUGCUUGGGGA
rnacentral:piRNA from 1 species